UAAUAAAGGAUGAAGAUGAAGAUGAAGGUUACUUUUGUGAAGGAUCUUUAAUCACCUCUGAGGAACAUCUCUCUCCAGUGGACCGACAGCUUGAAGGUUUCCAGAUGAAGCCUGUGAAGAAGGAAGAACCUGAAGAUGAAGAUGAACUCGAACUGAACAAGGAUUUCUCCUGCUCCUCGUGUCCACGUUCCUCUACAACCCAAAAUCACCUCCACAAUCACAUCAAGAGCUGCAACCAUGAUAAAUAUGAUGCGCUGGUGAAGAUUAAGACUGAACAUGAGGAUCU